UACGGAGGGUGCAAGCAUUAAUCGGAUUUAUUGGGCGUAAAGGGCGCGUAGGCGGAGAUAAAAGUCAGAUGUGAAAUCCUGGGGCUUAACCCCAGAACUGCAUUUGAAACUCUAUUUCUAGAGGGUAGAAGGAGAAAACGGAAUUCCACAAGUAGCGGUGAAAUGCGUAGAUAUGUGGAAGAACACCGGUGGCGAAGGCGGUUUUCUAUUUUACUCCUGACGCUGAGGCGCGAAAGCAAGGGGAUCAAACAGG
rnacentral:rRNA from 1 species